NGGUUUGACAUGGAUCGGGAGUGCUCAGAGAUGGGUGUGCCUCUUUUGGGGUCGGUUCACAGGUGGUGCAUGGCUGUCGUCAGCUCGUGUCGUGAGAUGUUAGGGUUAAGUCCCGCAACGAGCGCAACCCUUGUUCACUGUUGCCAGCACGUUAUGGUGGGGACUCAGUGGAGACCGGCCGGGGUCAACGUCGGAGGUAAGGUGGGGAUGACGUCAAGUCAUCAUGCCCCUUAUCG
rnacentral:rRNA from 1 species